rnacentral:rRNA from 1 species
UGCCAGCCGCCGCGGUAAUACGGAGGGGGUUAGCGUUGUUCGGAAUUACUGGGCGUAAAGCGUGCGUAGGCGGAUCGACAAGUUGGGGGUGAAAUCCCGGGGCUUAACCUCGGAACUGCCCUUGAUACUGGAGAUCUCGAGUCCGGAAGAGGUGAGUGGAAUUCCCAGUGUAGAGGUGAAAUUCGUAGAUAUUGGGAAGAACACCAGUGGCGAAGGCGGCUCACUGGUCCGGUACUGACGCUGAGGUGCGAAAGCGUGGGGAGCAAACAGGAUUAGAUA